CCUGAAGAAGGCCGUCGCGGAUCUGCGUGGCGAUGUCGCGGACGGCGCCGGGGCCAUGGGGGAUGAAGACGGAGGAGGCCUUUGAGGAGGCGCCGAUCUCCUUCAUGGUGUCGAAGUACUGGGUGAUGAGCACCAUGUCCAUCACGUCCUUGGCCGUGGUGCCCGGCACGUUCACUGAGAACCCCAGCACGCUGUCCCUCAACCCAUCCACGAUCGCCUGACGCUGCCUCGCGAUACCCAGCCCCGACAGGUACUUUGCUUCCGCUUCUCCCUCCGCCCUCUUUAUCUGCACGAUCUUCUCUGCCUCUGCCUUCUCGUUUGCAGCCACCCUCAGCCUCGCAGCUG
rnacentral:sRNA from 1 species